rnacentral:misc_RNA from 1 species
GAUGAAGAACGCAGCGAAAUGCGAUACGUAAUGUGAAUUGCAGAUUUCAGUGAAUCAUCGAAUCUUUGAACGCACAUUGCGCCCGCCAGUAUUCUGGCGGGCAUGCCUGUUCGAGCGUCAUUUCAACCCUCAAGCCCCCGGGCUUGGUGUUGGGGAUCGGCGUGCCCUCGCGGCGCGCCGUCCCCUAAAUCUAGUGGCGGUCUCGCUGUAGCUUCCUCUGCGUAGUAGCAACACUCGCACUGGAUCGCAGCGCGGCCACGCCGUUAAACCCCCCACUUCUGAAAGUUUGACCUCGGAUCAGGUAGGAAUACCCGCUGAACUUAAGCAUAUCAAUAAGCGGAGGA